CACGUAGUUAGCCGGGGCUUUCUCGUGAGGUACCGUCACCGCGCCGCCCUCUUCGAACAGCGCUCCUUCGUCCCUCACAACAGAGCUUUACGACCCGAAGGCCUUCUUCGCUCACGCGGCGUCGCUCCGUCAGGCUUUCGCCCAUUGCGGAAGAUUCCCUACUGCUGCCUCCCGUAGGAGUCUGGGCCGUGUCUCAGUCCCAGUGUGGCCGGUCACCCUCUCAGGCCGGCUACGCAUCGUCGCCUUGGUGAGCCGUUACCUCACCAACUAGCUAAUGCGCCGCGGGCCCAUCCGCAAGUGACAGCCCAAAGGCCGCCUUUCAACCAAAGACCAUGCGGUCUUCGGUGUUAUCCGGUAUUAGCUCCGGUUUCCCGGAGUUAUCCCGGUCUUGCGGGCAGGUUGCCCACGUGUUACUCACCCGUCCGCCGCUGACCGAAUCAAGGCAAGCCCCAAUCCGGUCCGCUCGACUUGCAUGUAUUAGGCACGCCGCCAGCGUUCGUCCUGAGCCAGGAUCAAACUCU
rnacentral:rRNA from 1 species